rfam:Triticum urartu cultivar G1812 contig452617, whole genome shotgun sequence.
GCAUGGGUGUCGUCAGCUUGUGUCGUAAGGUGCUGGAUUAAGUCUCACAACGAGCGCAACGCUCGUGUUUAUUUUCCACUAUGAGUUUGGAACCCUGAAUAGACCGCCGGUGUUAAGCCGGGGGAAGGAAAGUUGAAGGGUAUAAACAU